rnacentral:rRNA from 1 species
ACCGCUCAUUAACACGUGAUCAACUUACCCUAUACACAAAAAUAACCUCGGCAAACUGAUGAUAAUAUUUCAUAAUUGAAUUGGCUUGUAAAAGUUUUUCAAUGAAAAGGAUAAAAAAAAUGGUUUUUAUCUGCUAUAGGAUAGGAUCGUGUUCGAUUAUGGUUGUUGGUGACAUAAUGGCUCACCAAACCGAUAAUCGAUAGGGGCCGUGAGAGCGGGACCCCCGAGAUGGAUACUGACACAACGACCCACGCCUUACCAGGCGCACCACGCGCGAAACCUCCACAAUACACCAAAGUGUGAUGGGGUUACCCACACUGUUCAAUACAACUGUGGUAGGUGACUAAUGUUCCCUACUAGAAAGGAGAGGGCAAGGCUGGU